CUGACAGUUUGGUGGCUGACAUAUGUGCCCAUCGGAGACCAGCAUGGACAGAGUUCCAUGGAUAUAGGAAGCUGCAGGGCUACAAUUAUAGGGAAGCUUACUAGGCAAUUUGUUUACAGCCCUUAACAAAGAAUCACUUCAACAUCUGACAGAAGACAAGCUCUGCUGGGGAAGACUGAUCUCUGAGCUCCGCAGGUGUUUAGGAUUAAGGUAAACAUUUAUCUCGCAUAUCUCAAACGUAAAUGUAUCUUUAUGGUGGUC
rnacentral:lncRNA from 1 species